UACGUAGGGUGCGAGCGUUAAUCGGAAUUACUGGGCGUAAAGCGUGCGCAGGCGGUUCGUCGUGUCCGAUGUGAAAGCCCCGGGCUCAACCUGGGAAUGGCAUUGGAAACUGGCGGACUCGAGUGUGGCAGAGGGGGGUGGAAUUCCGCGUGUAGCAGUGAAAUGCGUAGAUAUCGGGAGGAACACCUGUGGCGAAGGCGGCCCCCUGGUUGGAUACUGACGCUGAUACGCGAAAGCGUGGGGAGCAAACAGG
rnacentral:rRNA from 1 species